rnacentral:rRNA from 1 species
GUCAGCCUGCCAGUGACAAAUGUUCAACGGCCGCGGUAUCCUAACCGUGCGAAGGUAGCGUAAUCACUUGUUCUUUAAAUGUGGACUAGUAUGAACGGCACCACGAGGGUUAUACUGUCUCCUUUCUCCAAUCAGUGAAACUAAUCUCCCCGUGAAGAAGCGGGGAUAAAAAUAUAAGACGAGAAGACCCUAUGGAGCUUAAAAGUUUACUUCAAACGCUAACCCCUACAAAGUCAUAGACUACCACAAGAAGCCACGCGCCAUGAAAACAACUUUUAGGUUGGGGUGACCAUGGAGCACAAAACAACCUCCACGCUGAACAGGCCUCCAAGCCUCGAGCCAAGGGCCACAACCCGCCGCACUAAAAAAUUAACAUCCAUUGAUCCAAUGAAUUUUGAUCAACGAACCAAGUUACCCUAGGGAUAACAGCGCAAUCUACUUCAAGAGUUCCUAUCGACAAGUGGGUUUACGACCUCGAUGUUGGAUCAGGGUGUCCCAGUGGUGCAGCCGCUACUAAUGGUUCGUUUGUUCAACGAUUAAAACCCUACGUGAUC